AUUGAACGCUGGCGGCAGGCCUAACACAUGCAAGUCGAACGAGUGGCGGACGGGUGAGUAAUGUCUGGGAAAAUGCCCGAUGGAGGGGGAUAACUACUGGAAACGGUAGAUAAUACCGCAUACCAUCGGAUGUGCCCAGAUGGGAGUAGCGAGUUGGUGGGGUAAAGGCGCACCGAGGCGCCGAUCCCUAGCGGGUCUGAGAGGAUGACCAGCCACACUGGAACUGAGACACGGUCCAGACUCCUACGGGAGGCAGCAGUGGGGAAUAUUGCACAAUGGGCGCAAGCCUGAUGCAGCCAUGCCGCGUGUAUGAAGAAGGUCUUCGGGUUGUAAAGUACUUUCAGCGGGGAGGCGUUACCCGAAGAAGAAGCACCGGCUAACUCCGUGCCAGCAGCCGCGGUAAUAC
rnacentral:rRNA from 1 species